CACAGAACAGAAUCACCUGACCGACUCAUCUUUUUUUAAAUAAUUUAAUAUUUCAUCUCUUUUACGAUACCUUUUACCAUAUUCUUGUUACUUCAUAUUCUGAUGUUUUCCCAUACUUUUUACCUGUCACUAGAUGUGUACAUUGUGGAUUUUUUUUUCUUGGGUCAUGUAUGGAAGAAUUACUGGCACCUUAUGACCUUAGCUUGAUUUCUCUGGUCUACAUUGUGCAUACGUACGAGUAAUCAUACUUUUCGGACCGAUCAAUUCAAUUGGUCGAGGUUAUUCAGAAUCAGAAGCCAUGUUUUCAAUUUGUUUCAGUUGUCCAUGUUUGUUCUGGCAGACCAUGUUAGCUUGGCUUGGACCACAGGUACCAACUACAUAAUAUAUGUAAUUAUAUGUUAAUGGCAUUGCUGUUUGAGGGCCAGGGGCAAAUAGUGGUAAAUA